AGAUUUGAGCUUGGUUUGAGAUUUGGUGUUGGAUAAGAAGGGAUUAAGCAAGGGUUUGACGAAUUGGCUAAGGUUAUUUGAACUUGGAAGGUUGGUGGCUAGAGUUGUGGUGAAGUUUUGCUCAAACGAGGUACUAGCGCUAGUGCUCCGACUACGGAUCAGCAGGGAAGCGCAUGACGUGGAUGGCCUGGACUAGUGUUGGUGUGGUGGUUUGUUUUUAUUAUGUUUAUGUAGUGUUUAUGUUAUGGAUGAAUGAUGAUUUUGGUUGGUUAGGCCUGAGGCCUUGGUAUGUACAUGCGUAUGGGGAUUUAUGAUUUGGGAUGAUAUGGCCUGAGGCCCUGGAUGAUUAUUUUGGUGGUAUGGGAAUUGUGUGGUUUAAAUUGCUA